GAACGCACCUUGCGCCCUUUGGCCAUUCCGAAGGGCAUGCCUGUUUGAGUAUCAUGAACACCUCAACUAAUUGUGGUUUUCCACGAUGAGCUUGGACUUUGGGGGGUUUUGCUGGCCUACGGUCGGCUCCUCUAAAAUGAAUCAGCUUACCAGUGUUUGGUGGGUAUCAUGGGUGUGAUAACUAUCUACGCUUGUGGUUUUUCCACCAGGUAACCUUCAGCAGUGGAGGUUCGCUGGAGCUCAUAGAUGUCUCUCCUCAGUGAGGACAGCCCUUUGAAUGUUUGAUCUCAAAUCAGGUAGGACUACCCGCUGAACUUAAG
rnacentral:misc_RNA from 1 species